UGGUAUAUGGUAAGAUCAUUUAGAAAAAUAUUACAUUUUUACCUGGAUGUUUUUUAUGUAACUUAUAAUUUAAUUCUUGUUUUGCUACUUAGAAAUGUCCAGAUCACCAGAACUGCUGACCAUAAUUCUGGGAAGCAUUAUUGCUUUUCUUCUGAUGGUCAUCAUCGUCAUGCUGUUCAUGAAAAUCAGGUCUUAUCCAAAAGCUCCAGUUGAAAGACACCAAAAAGAGAACCUGGACUCUGAUGCUUUGAACUAUGCAGCUGUCAGUUUCCGAUGGAAAGCAAAGACCAGGACAAAAGCUGCAGAAGACAUAAAUGUGGUUUAUGCAACCACUAAAUAGGCCCACUGUCCCUCAAAGACAGCAGCUCAGACCCACACAUGUUUUCUGAUGAGUUUGACCGAAAAAGGGUUUAAAAUUCACAGUAAAGACCAAAAUUAGACAUAGGAAUUAAACGGGUGUCUACUAGAAAGGUAAAGAAGAAUAGGUUAGAUUUGUGGAUCGAUGUAAAUUUUCAAUUGUGACUAAAAAUUGAUAGUAAGUAUACACUUUAUACGUCUUCACUAUGUUUCCUUAUGCCCUUUUAUAGAGAUCUCCAGCAAUUCUGAUUAUAAAUCUGCUUCAUCUAAUUGGUCUUUAAAGAAAAAUUGUUUUCUGAACCAGACGCACCUUAAUCUUUUCUCACGCUUCAAAUGUCCAAAGCUCAAAUAACUCCACUUACUAAUAGAUCAACAAUAAAUAAUGUUUAAAUUAUGGUGUGGACACUAUCGAAACGAUCACAUAAUUAUGCAGCUCAUGCAUUGUAACCAGUAACCUGAAUUUGAGUUUUGAAAUCUGCCAAAUGUAACGUUCUUAAAAACUUGGGUGAGGUCACAUGUAUGACCAGAUGCUGUUGAUUUCACCUGCUUUCACAAAUGGACUCUUUAAGUUAAGGAUCUUUA